rnacentral:tRNA from 1 species
GCAUGGAUGGUUCAGUGGUAGAAUGCUCGCCUGCCAUGCGGGCUGCCUGGGUUCGACUCUCGGUCGAUGCA